GCGGAGGAAGGAGUCUCAUCAUCCGCUGGAGCAAUUUCAGGAACAGCAGUCACCGAGACGGGCUCCCUAGCUGGUUUCUCUUCGAUCGGUUGUUCGGCAGCGACGGAAGGAAGGCGAGGCUUUCUCCAUGAAGUUGUUUCCGUACGGUGCGUCGGUAUCAACGUUGGCCAAACUUCCUGCCGCGGGAUCUUCUUUAAUUGGAUCAUUUCAGGUUCCGGUGCGUCCUGUUUAGGCUUCUGAGGCGUACGCUUCAGUACAACCUGUUGCGGAAUUUGCACUUGUUCCGGUUGUUGUGGAGAGCGUUUAAGCGAUUUGCUGAUCACAACUAGUUUUGGAGACUCAUCGGGUUCGGCAAUUGUUCUUUCAGUUGCAACAGAUUCAACCUCUUCGGGUGUGGUUAUUUCCGGAGUUGGUUUCAGUAGGAUUUCAGUGACGACUUUGGGUUCGAUCUCCUUGAGUGGGGGCGUGACGGGUUUGAAAAUCAUCGUGGCAUCUGAUGUCACGUCCGUCGUCUUUUGCGGAACCCGUGACAUAGACGUGGGAAUGUUUGGUUGCGUUUCAGGAGUUGCACUAGGAACUUCUCGUUGCGGUAUCUUCUUUAACUUGAUCGCCUCGGGUUGCGGCUCUUCCACCUUGGGCUUUUGCGGCGUACGCUUCAGCACGACUUGCUGUGGGCUCUGCACUAAUUCCGGUUCUCGAGGGGAGCGUCUAACUGAUUUGCUCGGUUGAGGAGUCUGUGGAAUUUCUUUGGAUUCUGAAGGAACUGUUUCAAAAUUUGAAUCGAUCUUUACCUGAGUUUUGGGCGCUUCCUCAGGUAAGACUUUAGGAACUAUUUGUGAUUCUUGCUUAGGUACGGGAGUAACAGCUUGUUUUAAAGUGAUUUUCCUUUCAAUUAGAACGUCUUUUGUCUGUUCAGGUUCGGUUUCCGCAACGCAAGUUGGAAUGCUAAUUUUGGUAGUUUCAUCCGGUUUGGAAACAGGGACUGAAACCGUUUUUUCUUUAACUUCAGGCAAAUGUGGAACGGCUGGAACGAUUUUCUUUCUCCAGGGCACUUCUCGUUUGGCUUCUAGUGCUUCCGGUGCGCUUUCCGGAAGAGUGACGCUUGUCGGCAUGGCAGGUUGGCCUUCAUCCUUUUCUGAUGGUGGCUGACUUUGACUUACUUGAUCGGGACUGCUUUUGGCAAGUGUAAGUGUCGAUUCUAUGGUCUGUUGAGGUAUUACGUCACGCUGGAUGCUUCUGACUUCCAUUUCGUCUGAUGGAAGUUGCUGUUCUUCCUCAUUCUGACGGCCUACAACGGGUUUUAAUCGGAUCUCAGCUCUUUCUGGAAUUUCUUUUGGUUUUCUUUCUGGCACUUUCUUCAGCUGAAUUCCGACGAAUUCAACAACUUCUGGUUGGGAUUUCUGUAGAGUUCGUUUCGGAACUACUUCAGCAAUUUUUACUUCCUCAUCUCGUCGAUAAACAGGCUUCAGGGUAAUGCUAGAUUCUUCUGUGUCUUUCGAUUUGUGUGGCACUCUUUUCAGCUGGAUAUUUUCCUGUACAGUUUCUUCCUGCUUUAUUUUCUGUGAUGUACGUUUGAGAACUACUUCUGGAAUUUUGUCAGCCUCGUCAAUAGUUUCUCUCUGUUUCUUGCCUGGGAUUGCUGAGGGCUCGGCUGCAGGCGAUGGCAAAUUGGCAUCGAUCGUAAUUGACUCUGACGGGUAUGCAGUAGAUUCCUUGGAAUCUUCAACUUUGGCAAGAAUAGGCUCCAAUGUCUUCUUUGUUCUCCAAGGAGUUACAAUGUUUUCUGGCUCUUGAUCAACUGGCGUGGGCUCCAUCGGCUCCUUCACUUCCGCAAUCGUCGUCUGCGAGAUGAUACUCUCCGGCUCAUGCUUCAAUUGCUCGCUAGGUGACACCACCAGCUCACCCUCCGUUGAAGUCGAUUUUGCAACAACAGAUUUGAGUUCUUUUGGUUCUUCUUUCUUUGGAGUCGGUUUGAGAUCCUUUCUUGUAACUUUUUUCAAUUCUACCUUGCUUGAUUCGAUCUUGCUCUCACUAGGUGAUUGUGGAGUCCUUUUCAAUUGAAUUUCCGGCACGAUCUCUGUAACAAUAGCUUCUUUUGAUUUCGGAAGUUGUUUGAGUGAAACUUGCUCUGUUAUUGCUUUCAACGUCUCCUCUUUAUUUUCGAAUUCUAUUUCAAAUGUUUGUUCUGUCUGAUUCACUGGAGUAGCUUCUUUUUUACGUUCCAUGGAAACGGAAGACCUUUGUGUUGUUUCUUCCGUCGGUUUGAUUGAUUCCGGAGUUGGUUUUUGAGGGAUUGCUGGUUUCGUAAUGGCUGUCUUUGGAACAAAUUCUUUCGGUUUUGGUGUUGUAAUAGUUGGUUUAGUCUUUUGCUUUAAAACUGGAACCUCAGUUGAUGACAUUUCUGCUGGUAAUUCGAUUGGGCUGGCCUGCAAAACGGCUUUGGAGCUAUCUGGCAAAUCUGUUGGUUCGUGACCAAACUCUUCUGUCUGAUAUUCAAAUUGCUUCGAUUGUUCAAUCUUCGCUUUUUGGGGAAUCGGUUUGAGUUCGACUCGCUGGUCAGGUUUAGCAAUUUCUUUGGGUUUCUGUGGCGUCUUUUUCAGCUCAACUCUACCGAAUGUCUCAGUUUGUUCUGCUUUCUUUAACGUGGACUUGAUUUCCGUCUUUUUCUCAACCAGUUUUUCAUCUUGGUCGAUGGGUUUCAAAACUACAAGCGAAUCGCCCAAAGUCGUUUGAAUUUGCGACGGUAUUUUCUUCAAAACCACUUGGAUGGGUUCCUUUUCAUCGGCUUUCGGCUUUUGGGGCGUUGGCUUGAGUUCCACCUGCGGGAUGGGCUCGUCUUGAACUACCUUUUCGAUUGAAAUCGGCUUCGUCUUAUCUCUAGAUUUAUGCAACGUCCCACCCGAAAUUGCGUCCUGCUCUUUCGCUACGGUGGCCAACUUUUGCGUGAGGAAAGCUUUGGCAGAUUGUUUUUUAUCAACUCCCUUAUGAACUGCUGGAACUUGGCUGAUUUCAACUGACGUGGGCGAUCCCUUUCGAAGCAUUUGCUUACCGGCCUUCCAUUCGAUAACAUCCAACAACUGACUGCUAGCAUCUCUUUUCUCCGGAGAAACAUCACGACUCCCGGAUGUCUUACGCAAUUGAACUGAUUUCCAGGGCACGCCCAGUUGAGGCUGACCUUCCGAUUGACACGGAGCGGCCGGCGAGCUAUCCCUCGAAGUCUUUUUCAGCAUUUGAACGCCAAUCUUCCAUGGAACAUUGGCCUCUUGCGGCACGUCUGGAAGAUCGGCCUUUGUAGGCGAACUUUCUCUCGAUGUCUUUUUCAAAAGUUGGACUCCGCUCUUCCAGGGAAUGUCGGCCGACGCCCUGGAGGCCAGGGGCGGUACCGUGUCGACCAAAGACGUCCGCCUAUUGGGCGAAGAUUUCCUCAGCCUUUCAGCACCGCCCUUCCAUGCAGGAGACGUUUUGACCGACGUUUCUUCGGCCUUUAGUUGUUGCGGUUUCUUCAACAGUUGCAAACCUUGCUUCCAGGCUGGUUCGUUUUUCUUAACAGAUAACUGGCCAGGACGCCUGUCUUCCGACCUGCUCCUUUUGCGCCACGGAGCCUCUUCUAUCAUAGGGAUCCUCUCCGUGGGCGGAGAACUGGAUUCUCUCCUUCUCCAAGGAGCAACUUGAUGACCCACUUCUGACCGGCUAGUCCGUCUCUGCUCAUCGGUAGACGUUGUGGCAACGGAGACGUUAGCCGCAGUCUUAACGGAGAUGCUAGUCGUCUGGUCAUGGCUAGGCGUCUUUGGUCCUUUGUGAUGACCAACCCGUUGAAAUCGGGCCUGUUUCCCUGUACACGAGGUCGACAUGGAGAGAGAGGAGAGAACGCACUCUGUUGAUUACAAGUUUACAACCCGGUGCCUUGGCUUGUUAUCAUUAGAGUUGCCAGCUGUGAAACGUUGGCGGUACCACCCACUGCAUAGGUGAGGUCCUGUCGCCACGACCAUAUUUGAAGCUAAUGACGAGAGUGGAGGAUAGAAAGAGAUCUUGCGUGAGUCAGCGGUAAUGACUCACGCACCCUUGGAAGUAUCUAGAGUUCCAGAACAGCCAAACUAACUAACACAACAAAAACAAACGGAAAAAAUUGUUUGUAGGGAGUACACGAAAAGAUCUCGAAUCGGCAGUUACCGACUAGACUCGGUCGCAGUCGGUCGUUCAAACAGAAACAUCUCAUUUUGGGGUUUUAACGUAUAGAUCUGAACCGGCCCCCAGAAGAACGAAUGAAAUUCUACAAGGUACAACCAGAAGAGUUUUGUGUCGUUGGUGUUCAUUUUCUCUCUCUCUCUCUUUUCAAAAUUAAAUAAUUGUGUUUUUAAUGUGUGGUUAAUUGAAAGAAGACAUUUCUCAAUUUUCUUUCGUGUCACGUCUUUUUUUUGUUUUUGUUUUGUUUUGAUUUUGGUUGUUUUCUUUUUCAUGCAAAUCAAGGUCAUUGUAAAAAUAAAAAAAAAAAAAAAACGAAGACAACAAAAUAAAAAAAAUUUCCAACAACAAUCCAAAUAGAUUUACUUGGUUUUUCCUGGCCAACAUGCUUUGUGCUCGUGUAUUUCGACGGUGUCAUGUGUGUGGAAUAAAAAAAAAAAUAAUAUAUUAACUACUAGAAUUUUUUGUUCUCGUUCGUUUCGUUUUGAAACUUGCUUGUAUUUUUUUUUUUUUUGAGAGGGAAAAAAAAUAAAAGUAGGCAGAACGGACAGGGGGAGAGCGGGACAGCGCGCAAAAAAGGGGGCGAGGGCGGAAGAGCCAUUUAAAAUUCAAAAAUUUCAAAAGAAAAACAAAAAAAAAAGGCCGACAUGAAAAAAUAUUCAUCAAAAGAGCGUUUGGGUGUGGCACGACAACGACAAUAAGAAAUAAGAAAAAGCCUUUAUCUUUUUUUUUGCUCUACAUCAAAUAUGGCGUUUGUGAUUAUAUCAAAGGAUUUUUUUGUCCAAAUAUAAAAAAGCUGCGAUCACCUUCCAAACGAAUGAGUAGGAAAAUAAUUGUCAAAAAUUGUAAAAUUUCAAAAGGCACUUCAAAGGGGUAGAGAGUUGGGUUUUUGUUUUAUGCUCUCACUACAAUGAUCCAAAAAAGUGUGGAA